rnacentral:rRNA from 1 species
CCUACGGGUGUCAGCAGUGAGGAAUAUUGGUCAAUGGGCGAGAGCCUGAACCAGCCAAGUCGCGUGAGGGAGUACUGCCCUAUGGGUUGUAAACCUCUUUUGUCGGGGAGCAAAAGCCGGACGUGUCCGGCUGUGAGAGUACCCGAAGAAAAAGCGUCGGCUAACUCCGUGCAAUCAGCCGCGGUAAUACGGAGGAUGCGAGCGUUCGCAGGAUUGAUUGGUUUUAAGGGGUGCGCAGGCGGAUUUUUAAGUCAGCGGUCAAAUCGUGGGGCUCAACCCCAUCCAGCCGUUGAAACUGGGGAUCUAGAGUGUGCGAGAGGUAGGCGGAAUGCGUGGUGUAGCGGUGAAAUGCAUAGAUAUCACGCAGAACCCCGAUUGCGAAGGCAGCAUACCGGUGCACAACUGACGCUCAGGCACGAAAGCGUGGGUAUCGAACAGGAUUAGAUACACGGGUAGUC